UUAAGCGACUAAGCGUACACGGUGGAUGCCCUGGCAGUCAGAGGCGAUGAAGGACGUGCUAAUCUGCGAUAAGCGUCGGUAAGGUGAUAUGAACCGUUAUAACCGGCGAUUUCCGAAUGGGGAAACCCAGUGUGWUUCGWCACACUAUCAUUAACUGAAUCCAUAGGUUAAUGAGGCGAACCGGGGGAACUGAAACAUCUAAGUACCCCGAGGAAAAGAAAUCAACCGAGAUUCCCCCAGUAGCGGCGAGCGAACGGGGAGCAGCCCAGAGCCUGAAUCAGUGUGUGUGUUAGUGGAAGCGUCUGGAAAGGCGCGCGAUACAGGGUGACAGCCCCGUACACAAAAAUGCACAUGCUGUGAGCUCGAUGAGUAGGGCGGGACACGUGGUAUCCUGUCUGAAUAUGGGGGGACCAUCCUCCAAGGCUAAAUACUCCUGACUGACCGAUAGUGAACCAGUACCGUGAGGGAAAGGCGAAAAGAACCCCGGCGAGGGGAGUGAAAAAGAACCUGAAACCGUGUACGUACAAGCAGUGGGAGCACGCUUMGGCGUGUGACUGCGUACCUUUUGUAUAAUGGGUCAGCGACUUAUAUUCUGUAGCAAGGUUAACCGAAUAGGGGAGCCGAAGGGAAACCGAGUCUUAACUGGGCGUUAAGUUGCAGGGUAUAGACCCGAAACCCGGUGAUCUAGCCAUGGGCAGGUUGAAGGUUGGGUAACACUAACUGGAGGACCGAACCGACUAAUGUUGAAAAAUUAGCGGAUGACUUGUGGCUGGGGGUGAAAGGCCAAUCAAACCGGGAGAUAGCUGGUUCUCCCCGAAAGCUAUUUAGGUAGCGCCUCGUGAAUUCAUCUCCGGGGGUAGAGCACUGUUUCGGCAAGGGGGUCAUCCCGACUUACCAACCCGAUGCAAACUGCGAAUACCGGAGAAUGUUAUCACGGGAGACACACGGCGGGUGCUAACGUCCGUCGUGAAGAGGGAAACAACCCAGACCGCCAGCUAAGGUCCCAAAGUCAUGGUUAAGUGGGAAACGAUGUGGGAAGGCCCAGACAGCCAGGAUGUUGGCUUAGAAGCAGCCAUCAUUUAAAGAAAGCGUAAUAGCUCACUGGUCGAGUCGGCCUGCGCGGAAGAUGUAACGGGGCUAAACCAUGCACCGAAGCUGCGGCAGCGACGCUGAUGCGUUGUUGGGUAGGGGAGCGUUCUGUAAGCCUGUGAAGGUGUGCUGUGAGGCAUGCUGGAGGUAUCAGAAGUGCGAAUGCUGACAUAAGUAACGAUAAAGCGGGUGAAAAGCCCGCUCGCCGGAAGACCAAGGGUUCCUGUCCAACGUUAAUCGGGGCAGGGUGAGUCGACCCCUAAGGCGAGGCCGAAAGGCGUAGUCGAUGGGAAACAGGUUAAUAUUCCUGUACUUGGUGUUACUGCGAAGGGGGGACGGAGAAGGCUAUGUUGGCCGGGCGACGGUUGUCCCGGUUUAAGCGUGUAGGCUGGUUUUCCAGGCAAAUCCGGAAAAUCAAGGCUGAGGCGUGAUGACGAGGCACUACGGUGCUGAAGCAACAAAUGCCCUGCUUCCAGGAAAAGCCUCUAAGCAUCAGGUAACAUCAAAUCGUACCCCAAACCGACACAGGUGGUCAGGUAGAGAAUACCAAGGCGCUUGAGAGAACUCGGGUGAAGGAACUAGGCAAAAUGGUGCCGUAACUUCGGGAGAAGGCACGCUGAUAUGUAKGUGARGUCCCUCGCGGAUGGAGCUGAAAUCAGUCGAAGAUACCAGCUGGCUGCAACUGUUUAUUAAAAACACAGCACUGUGCAAACACGAAAGUGGACGUAUACGGUGUGACGCCUGCCCGGUGCCGGAAGGUUAAUUGAUGGGGUCAGCGCAAGCGAAGCUCUUGAUCGAAGCCCCGGUAAACGGCGGCCGUAACUAUAACGGUCCUAAGGUAGCGAAAUUCCUUGUCGGGUAAGUUCCGACCUGCACGAAUGGCGUAAUGAUGGCCAGGCUGUCUCCACCCGAGACUCAGUGAAAUUGAACUCGCUGUGAAGAUGCAGUGUACCCGCGGCAAGACGGAAAGACCCCGUGAACCUUUACUAUAGCUUGACACUGAACAUUGAGCCUUGAUGUGUAGGAUAGGUGGGAGGCUUUGAAGUGUGGACGCCAGUCUGCAUGGAGCCGACCUUGAAAUACCACCCUUUAAUGUUUGAUGUUCUAACGUUGACCCGUAAUCCGGGUUGCGGACAGUGUCUGGUGGGUAGUUUGACUGGGGCGGUCUCCUCCUAAAGAGUAACGGAGGAGCACGAAGGUUGGCUAAUCCUGGUCGGACAUCAGGAGGUUAGUGCAAUGGCAUAAGCCAGCUUGACUGCGAGCGUGACGGCGCGAGCAGGUGCGAAAGCAGGUCAUAGUGAUCCGGUGGUUCUGAAUGGAAGGGCCAUCGCUCAACGGAUAAAAGGUACUCCGGGGAUAACAGGCUGAUACCGCCCAAGAGUUCAUAUCGACGGCGGUGUUUGGCACCUCGAUGUCGGCUCAUCACAUCCUGGGGCUGAAGUAGGUCCCAAGGGUAUGGCUGUUCGCCAUUUAAAGUGGUACGCGAGCUGGGUUUAGAACGUCGUGAGACAGUUCGGUCCCUAUCUGCCGUGGGCGCUGGAGAACUGAGGGGGGCUGCUCCUAGUACGAGAGGACCGGAGUGGACGCAUCACUGGUGUUCGGGUUGUCAUGCCAAUGGCACUGCCCGGUAGCUAAAUGCGGAAGAGAUAAGUGCUGAAAGCAUCUAAGCACGAAACUUGCCCCGAGAUGAGUUCUCCCUGACCGCGGUGGUCCCACCUGACCCCAUGCCGAACUCAGAAGUGAAACGCCGUAGCGCCGAUGGUAGUGUGGGGUCUCCCCAUGCGAGAGUAGGGAACUGCCAGGCAUCAAAUU
rnacentral:rRNA from 1 species